rnacentral:lncRNA from 1 species
AUGUUUUUAACGGAGACGUGGCUAGAUAAAAACACGGAGAAUGCUGUCCUGAUUGAGUGUAGCCCCCCAAAUUUUAACUUCAUGUCUGAAAUAAGACCAAAUCAGAGGGGUGGGGGUGUCUGUUCACUAUUUAGGGACAACCUAUCGUGCCACAAACAAUCAUUUGGGGAGUUUUCAUCAUUUGAGUAUGUGUCAUUUAAAAUGAAGAUGCAACAAUCUGCCAUACUUUAUAUUGUUAUUUAUAAACGGCCUCAAAAUUGUUCUUUUAUUGAAGAUUUUAUUGGAUUAAUUUCAAUUGUGGCCACAGAAUUCGACAUCUUGAUUAUUACGGGUGAUCUGAAUGUUCAUGUGGAUGUGCUAAACGACCGGCACACUAAAGAACUUAAUGCUGUCCUUGAAACAUUUGGGUUAACUCAGCAUGUGUCUGAGCCCACCCAUAACAGAGGACACACAUUGGACAUCCUUAUUACAAAAGGUGUUACUAUUUCUGAUGUGAAUGUUGUUGACGUUGCAUUAUCUGAUCAUGUUUGCGUUUUCUUUGAACUUUCUGUUGUACCCAAGCCAGCAGUUGGGUCUGCAGUGGUUCGGAAAAGACUCAUAAAUGAUAAAACAAAGUUACAGUUUAUGGCUAUGAUUACAUUUGAAGAUUCUCCCUGUUCAAAUGUUGAUAAUUUGUUGAGCUCUUAUACAUCAGGUGUUUUAAAUGUCUUGGACACCAUAGCCCCUGUUAAGGAUAAAAUUGUUAAAAAUAAGCAAAAGGCCCCGUGGAGAAAUGACGAUUCAGUCAAAGAACAUAAAAGAGAGUGCCGGAGAGCCGAACGAACAUGGCGCAAGUCAAAGCUCCCAGUUCAUUUUGAAAUUUACAAAGAAAAGUUACACGUAUUUAAUCGGGCUCUGCGUAGAGCUAGAGAAAAGUAUUUCUCUGAAAUAAUUUCAAAUUGCCAUGGUAACUCUCGUGUUCUGUUUGCCAUGGUUAGCAGACUCACAAACCCUCCAGUCUCAUUGCCCCAGGAAUUCAUUUCUACAUCAAAGUGCAAUGAGUUUGCUAAUUUUUUUUUUUAG